rnacentral:rRNA from 1 species
GAUGAACGCUGGCGGCGUGCCUAAUACAUGCAAGUCGAGCGAACGGACGAGAAGCUUGCUUCUCUGAUGUUAGCGGCGGACGGGUGUGUAACACGUGGAUAACCUACCUAUAAGACUGGGAUAACUUCGGGAAACCGGAGCUUAUACCGGAUAAUAUUUUGCACCGCAUGGUUCAAAAGUGAAAGACGGUCUUGCUGUAUCUUCUAGAUGGAUCCGCGCUGCAUGAGCUAGUUGGGAAGGUAACGGCUUACCAAGGCAACGAUGCAUAGCCGACCUGAGAGGGUGAUCGGCCACACUGGAACUGAGACACGGUCCAGACUCCUACGGGAGGCAGCAGUAGGGAAUCUUCCGCAAUGGGCGAAAGCCUGACGGAGCAACGCCGCGUGAGUGAUGAAGGUCUUCGGAUCGUAAAACUCUGUUAUUAGGGAAGAACAUAUGUGUAAGUAACUGUGCACAUCUUGACGGUACCUAAUCAGAAAGCCACGGCUAACUACGUG